CAAUCAAAUCAUUAUUUCCAGGGUUGUGUCGCAGUAUUGUGAAUGAGUGAAACCAGUGGCAGUGGUGGAGUGAAUUCAGAGUUGUCGUGGGGGGGGGAAAUGAAAUGGAUUUGUGACUACGACGAGACAACUGCGGUCCGGGGGGUCCUCACCUUGUUAAAAAUGAGGCUCUAGUACAUAAAAAAUGUCAACCCCCCUUUGACAACAUGACUCUACCAGGCUCCCUGGACGUUUAAAUCACACCAGGGCCUGGGGGACUCUUAUCUGUCGUCCUCGGCGUGUUUGCGUUUGGGGGACGAGCUCGGCCUUGGGCGAAGACAAAACAGGUGACAAGAUUCCCAAAGGCUUCUGGGGACGAGGAGGCUUCUGUGGAAACUUCGGCUGCGAGCCGUGGGCUCCAUUCAAACAGGAUGACGUGACCUUUGGCCUUUCAUCUGAUGGGGGAUAAGCUGUUUGUGCACGAGGUUAAAUCCAACCGACACCAGCUGUUAAAUCACAGCAGCACAUGAAGAAGAACCACUCCCUGCUGCGCGAGCCAGAGCUGCUCAUCAUCCUCUAGGAAGAAGGUCAAGUACAUGAAGGAGACGUCUACAUCUGCGUUCCCACCGUACUUCCUGUGCUCUUCCACCGUGUCUUUCCCCCCCGAAAAUGCAUGUUUGUUGAUCUAUGGAGGUGUUGGCGUCACUGGCGCUCAUCUUGGUCUGAGCCCCCUGCAGUGCGGGGAAGAAGGUGGAGUGCAGCAGUGCUGGUUUGGGAUAACCGAUCCUUGGAGCGACAUCACGGGUCAUCCGGAAGUAAGGGUCCUGCAUGAGUGAGAGGAGGGGUCCAGACACAUCAUGUCAUUAUCUGUGGGAAGGAGCUACUGAAGGAUGGAGCAGCCUGGAUGGCCGGGAAACUGAUCUUACCUGAAUGGAUGAAAAAUAAUAAACACCUUUAUCCAACAAGCAGUUUAUACAAUCAAAUUCAGACUCAUGACACAACAGAGUAAAACCACAAACACAAAAUUAUACUGCAACUUUUUGUCCAUCAAAAAAUGUUACCAAUUAGUAUUUCAGACGCAGGUCUGACAAAGGAAGCAAUCUGAAACCUAUUGAAGCUCUGGCAACCAGUUAUGAACAUUUGGCUUUUUAAUUUUUAAUACUUCUUUUUUUUUUUUACAAAUCUAAACAUGAAAUACAAUAUAAUGAAUCAGAAAGUUACAAAAAAAUAUUUUUUGCAGCACAUUGCACUCUAAUCUGGAAAGAAUAGUGAAAAAUACUGAGUGCAAACUGCUUUCCCUGCAAUAAAUGUCAUGUUUCUUCCUCUUUCCAAAGUGAUGUGAGAAUAUUUGAAUGAUUGCUGUCAAAUGGUUGUUUUUCUUUAGACCCUGACGACUUGUCAGUGUUCUUACCAAUGCAGUCACUGUCCGUAAAGCCAAAGAUGCCUUUGACCUGGUUAAAUGUUACAUGCUUCUGGAUCUUAA